rnacentral:tRNA from 1 species
GGGCCGGUAGCUCAGUUGGUUAGAGCAGUGGACUCAUAAUCCAUAGGUCGCUGGUUCGAGUCCAGCCCGGCCCA